AUGGCUGCAAUAAUGGUGAGCGCUUCAACUGGGGUGAUGAACUCUCUCCUGCGUAAGCUGGCCACCUUGAUGGGGGACGAGUUCGCCAAGCUAACGAACUUGAGGAAGGAGGUUAAGCACAUCAUUGAUGAGCUGGGCAGUAUGAAGGGUGCUCUGGAGAGCCUUGCAGAUGUGGAUGAGCUAGAUAUACAGACGACGAGGUGGAGAGACGAGGUCAGGGAGAUGUCUUAUGACAUCGAGGAUAUUAUCGAUGACUUCAUGUGCAAAAUUGGGGAGAAGAAGAAAAAAUCUGGGUUUGUCCACGACACUAUUCAACGCCACAAAACUUCAAGGGCCCGCCAUCAGAUUGCUGGUCAGAUUGAGGACAUAAAAAAACUUGUGCGUGAAACAAGUGAACGGCGUAAAAGAUAUAAGCUCGAUGCCCCCAAAUCACAUAGUGUGGCAAUUGACCAACGAGUUGUCGCACUCUAUGAAAAUGCAGCUAAACUUGUUGGUAUGGAGGGCCCAACCAAAGAGAUUAUCAGUUGCCUAAACGAUGAGGAGAAGGAUAAAAAGCUGAAGGUUGUAUCAAUUGUUGGUUUCGGAGGUUUAGGUAAAACAACACUCGCCAAUGAGGUAUACCAUAAGCUGAAGGGGCGAUUUCACUGUGGUGCAUUUGUGCCGGUGUCUCAGAAGCCAAAUAUUCCAAAACUUCUGCAUAGUUUAUUAACCCAACAUGGGCGUGGCCAAUCAUUUCAUGAUUGUGAGUUAAAUGUUCUUCUCGACCAACUCAGAGAAAAUCUAAAAAAAAGAGGUACUUGGUUGUCAUUGAUGAUCUAUGGGAUGCAUCAGCAUGGAAUAUUAUUAAAUGUGCUUUCCCAGAAAAUGAACUUCAUAGUAGAUUAA
rnacentral:rRNA from 1 species